rnacentral:rRNA from 1 species
AUUGAACGCUGGCGGCAGGCCUAACACAUGCAAGUCGAGCGGGAACUUCGGUUCUAGCGGCGGACGGGUGAGUAAUGCGUAGGAAGCUACCCGACAGAGGGGGAUACCAGUUGGAAACGACUGUUAAUACCGCAUAAUGUCUACGGACCAAAGUGUGGGACCUUCGGGCCACAUGCUGUCGGAUGCGCCUACGUGGGAUUAGCUAGUUGGUGAGGUAACGGCUCACCAAGGCGACGAUCCCUAGCUGGUUUGAGAGGAUGAUCAGCCACACUGGAACUGAGACACGGUCCAGACUCCUACGGGAGGCAGCAGUGGGGAAUAUUGGACAAUGGGCGAAAGCCUGAUCCAGCCAUGCCGCGUGUGUGAAGAAGGCCUUCGGGUUGUAAAGCACUUUCAGUAGGGAGGAAGAGUUGAGUGUUAAUAGUACUCAGCUUUGACGUUACCUACAGAAGAAGCACCGGCUAACUCUGUGCCAGCCGCCGCCGUAAAAC